rnacentral:rRNA from 1 species
CUACGGGUUGCAGCAGUCGCGGAACUUUUACAAUGCACGAAAGUGUGAUAAAGCGAACCAAAGUGUUCUUCAUUUCGAAGAACUUUUGUUCACCGUAAAAACGUGGACGAAUAAGGACUGGGUAAGACAGGUGCCAGCCGCCGCGGUAAUACCUGCGGUCCAAGUUGCAUCCAUUUUUAUUGGGUCUAAAACAUCCGUAGCUUGACUUUCAAGUCUCUCGUGAAAUCCUACGUCUCAAGCGUGGUGAAGUGCGGGAGAUACUAAAAGUCUAGAGAUCGGUAGACGUAAAGAGUACGCCGGGGGUAACGGUUAAAUGUGUUAAUCCUCGGUGGACUAACAAUGAGCGAAGGCACUUUACGAGGACGAAUCUGACAGUGAGGGAUGAAGGCCAGGGGCGCAAAACGGAUUUAGAUACCCCCGUAGUC